UACUGAUAGUAACAGUAGUGGUAGUGAUAGUAACAGUAGUGAUAGUAAUACGUAGUGAUAGUAACAGUACUGAUAGUAACAGUAAUGAUAGUAACAGUAGUGGUAGUGAUAGUAACAGUAGUGAUAGUAAUAGUAGUGAUAGUAACAGUACUGAUAGUAACAAUAGUGAUCGUAACAGUGAUAGCAGUUAAUAGUAACAGUAAAAUUGCUAGUACUACAGUAUAUACUGCUAUAUUAUUACUAUAAUAUAAAUAAUCGUAGGAAUAAGAGUAAUGAUAAGGUUCUAUUGUGACAGGAACAGUAAUAACAGAAACAUUAACAGUAUUUCAAUGUAAAAGUCUGGUGUGUUUGUGUGUGCUGGUCAAACAUCUCACUAAACUCUGGAUAAUAACUGUAGCCUUCUGUGGAACACAGACUGAAAGCUUUUCUUCAUUUAUUAUCAUUAAACAGAAAUUUAAGAAUAAUUUCUAGUAACAGAAUAAACAAACAUUUUGUUUAUCCACGAUAAUGAGAGUGAGAUAAAUCAACUUCUCAUGAAAAGUUCUUUUACCCACUCGUGUUAAACUGAUUAAAUACAACGUUUUCUUGUCUUUCGGAAUAUUAAACAUUUUAUUCCAUCAGUUACACAUAGAUAUAUAUAUAUAUAUAUAUAACUGUAACAUACAACUCAUUCUCUUCCUUCCUUCCUUCCUUCCUU
ensembl:lncRNA